rnacentral:rRNA from 1 species
UACGGAGGGUGCAAGCGUUAUCCGGAUUCACUGGGUUUAAAGGGUGCGUAGGUGGGCAGGUAAGUCAGUGGUGAAAUCUCCGGGCUUAACCCGGAAACUGCCGUUGAUACUAUCUGUCUUGAAUAUAGUGGAGGUGAGCGGAAUAUGUCAUGUAGCGGUGAAAUGCUUAGAUAUGACAUAGAACACCAAUUGCGAAGGCAGCUCGCUACACUAUCAUUGACACUGAGGCACGAAAGCGUGGGGAUCAAACAGG